rnacentral:rRNA from 1 species
UUCGCAAUGCCCGAAAGGGUGAACGAGCGACGCCGCGUGCGGGAUGAAGGCCUUCGGGUUGUAAACCGCUUUUGUAAGGGAAAAACUUAAUGAUGGUACCUUGCGAAUAAGAGGUUACUAACUCUGUGCCAGCAGUAGCGGUAAUACGGAGGGUGCGAACGUUGUUCGGAUUCAUUGGGCUUAAAGGGCACGUAGGCGGUCGGCUUAGUCGGAUGUGAAAUCCCUCGGCUUAACCGAGGAACGGCAUCCGAAACUGGCCGGCUUGAGCGAAGAGGGGGAGAGCGGAACUUCUGGUGUAGCGGUGAAAUGCGUAGAUAUCAGAAGGAACGCCGGUGGCGAAAGCGGCUCUCUGGUCUUCUGCUGACGCUGAGGUGCGAAAGCCAGGGGAGCAAACGGGAUUAGAUACCCCGGUAGUCCUGGCUGUAAACGAUGGGCACUAAGUAGAGGGGUUUU